rnacentral:rRNA from 1 species
UACAGAGGGGGCAAGCGUUGUUCGGAAUUACUGGGCGUAAAGGGCGCGUAGGCGGCCUGCUAAGUCGAACGUGAAAUCCCCGGGCUCAACCCGGGAACUGCGUCCGAUACUGGUUGGCUUGAAUCCGGGAGAGGGAUGCGGAAUUCCAGGUGUAGCGGUGAAAUGCGUAGAUAUCUGGAGGAACACCGGUGGCGAAGGCGGCAUCCUGGACCAUAACUGACGCUGAGGCGCGAAAGCUAGGGGAGCAAACGGG